GAGCUGAUCAGUGCUGGUCGCUGAGGAAAUACAUCAACUUUGCACUGUGGAUCGCCAAAUCGGCUUUCACCGUGGACGAAGUGGAGUCCAGCCCGGGGUCAUCACAUGUGGUUGCUGCAAGACCAAGGAGUUGGCGAUAGUGGAACACUACCAGGAACCAAACCAUUAAAACCUACAGGUACUUCAUGCCAUUCACUUAACUCUUAUUGUCUCUAUAUAUUUGGGCAAGCAGGUGCUUUUUCAUUUGUAAAAAGAUUUAUUAUUAUUACUGUAGGCAUUGGACGUGGAGAUACUCCGGGCACCAUUGAAGGAGGACCUGGAAGUCUAGGUGGUGGUCCAUGUGGGGUUGGUGGUGAGCCAGGUGGAGUUCCGGUAGGGGUUGGUGGUGGUCCAGGUGGAGUUCCGGGAGGAGUUGGUGGUGGUCCAGGUGGAGUUCCGGGAGGAGUUGGUGGUGGGGCAGGUGGAGUUGGUGGAGUUCCAGGAGGAGUUAAACCCCCUUUAGGUGUUUUACUGUGAAAAUCUUGAUCUGUAAAAUGUCUAUUAGCUGUGUUUUUCUCUGUUUGUAAAACAAGGACUGUAUUACAAUCAUUGUGUUCUAGUUUACAGCGUUACAGGUGGAACUGGAGCUCUUGGAGUUGGAGGUGUAGGUGGAACGGGUCCAGCUGGAGUGGGAGGAGUUGGACUUCUGCCAGGAGGUGAAGCUGAAUAAAGUGCACUUAAAAUUGACA
ensembl:lncRNA